UUUUUCCUGCGCUUUUCGUGAUCGUGCUAUUUGGACCGACACACAAAGCUAGGGAGUCCCACCUUCUACCGAGAUAGAGCAGGCCUCCCGCCGUGGGCUGUCUUUGUACCCCCACCAAGCGGACGUUGGAAGCACGAGUCCGGCAGAGAGGACACCCACCUGAAAAUCAGGGUUAAAUUUCGUACGACACGGUCGUCGCGGGGGUGUC
rnacentral:other from 1 species